rnacentral:rRNA from 1 species
GACAGAGGGUGCAAACGUUGCUCGGAAUCACUGGGCGUAAAGGGCGUGUAGGCGGGAAGGAAAGUCAGAUGUGGAAAUCCCUGGGCUCAACCCAGGAACUGCGUCCGAUACUGGUUGGCUGAAUCCGGGAGAGGAUGUGGAAUUCCAGGUGUAGCGGUGAAAUGCGUAGAUAUCUGGAGGAACACCGGUGGCGAAGGCGA